CAGCCGCCGCGGUAAUACCCGCAGCCCGAGUGGUGGUCGAUUUUAUUGAGUCUAAAACGUUCGUAGCCGGUCUAGUAAAUCCUUGGGUAAAUCGGGGGGCUUAACCUUCCGAAUUCCGAGGAGACUGCUAGGCUUGGGAUCGGGAGAGGUAAGAGGUACUUCAGGGGUAGGGGUAAAAUCCUGUAAUCCUUGGAGGACCACCGGUGGCGAAGGCGUCUUACUAGAACGAAUCCGACGGUGAGGGACGAAGCCCUAGGUCGCAAACGGGAUUAGAUACCCCGGUAGUCUAGGGUGUAAACGCUGCCGACUUGGUGUUGGGGGCCCUUCGGGGGCAUUCAGUGCCGGAGAGAAGUUGUU
rnacentral:rRNA from 1 species